rnacentral:rRNA from 1 species
AAAACCGGGUUAUAAACCGGAACCUGUACUAUACGUAGCUCCGAGCUAAGUGGGACUCGGCCUCUGCCAUCGAAUGUAGCAGAUUGAUAGGCUAGGUAGGUGAGGUACGCUCACCUAGGCGACGAUCCUAGCUGAUCUGAGAGGAUGAUCAGCACACUGGACUGAGACACGUCCAGACUCGUACGGGAAGCAGCAGUAGGGAUAUGCAGCAUGGGCGCAGUCUGAUGCAGCAUGCCGCGUGUAGUGAGAUGGCUUUCGGGAUGUAAAGCAUUUUUCAGCGGGGAAGGAAGGCGUUAAUGGUUAAUAACAUCGUCGAUUGACGUUACCUGCAGAAGAAGCAGCGGGCUAACUCCGUGCCAGCAGCCGCGGUAAUACGGAGGGGUGCAAGCGUUAAUCGGAAUUACUGGGCGUAAAGCGCACGCAGGCGGUCUGUCAUAGUCUGGAUGUGAAAUCCCCGGGCUCAACCUGGGUAGCUGCAUUCGAAACUGGCAGACUAGAGUCUUGUAGAGGGGGGUAGAAUUCCAGGUGUAGCGGUGAAAUGCGUAGAUAUCUGGAGGAAUACCGGUGGCGAAGGCGGCCCCCUGGACAAAGACUGACGCUCAGGUGCGAAAGCGUGGGGAGCAAACAGGAUUAGAUACCCUGGUAGUCCACGCCGUAAACGAUGUCGAUUUGGAGGUUGUGCCCUUGAGGCGUGGCUUCCGGAGCUAACGCGUUAAAUCGACCGCCUGGGGAGUACGGCCGCAAGGUUAAAACUCAAAUGAAUUGACGGGGGCCCGCACCAGCGGUGGAGCAUGUGGUUUAAUUUGAUGCAACGCGAAGAACCUUACCUAGUCUUGACAUCCACAGAACUUUCCAGAGAUGGAUUGGUGCCUUCGGGAACUGUGAGACAGGUGCUGCAUGGCUGUCGUCAGCUCGUGUUGUGAAAUGUUGGGUUAAGUCCCGCAACGAGCGCAACCCUUAUCCUUUGUUGCCAGCGGUCCGGCCGGGAACUCAAAGGAGACUGCCAGUGAUAAACUGGAGGAAGGUGGGGAUGACGUCAAGUCAUCAUGGCCCUUACGACCAGGGCUACACACGUGCUACAAUGGCACAUACAAAGAGAAGCGACCUCGCGAGAGCAAGCGGACCUCAUAAAGUAUUCGUAGUCCGGAUUGGAGUCUGCAACUCGACUCCAUGAAGUCGGAAUCGCUAGUAAUCAGUGAUCCAGAAUGCCCGCCGGGCCCA